GAUGAAGAACGUAGUGAAAUGCGAUAAGUAAUGUGAAUUGCAGAAUUCAGUGAAUCAUCGAAUCUUUGAACGCACAUUGCGCCCGCUAGUAUUCUGGCGGGCAUGCCUGUCCGAGCGUCAUUUCAACCCUCAAGCCCCCGGGCUUGGUGUUGGGGAUCGGCGAGCCUCCGCGCCCGCCGUCCCCUAAAUCUAGUGGCGGUCUCGCUGUAGCUUCCUGUGCGUAGUAGCACACCUCGCACUGGGAAACAGCGCGGCCACGCCGUUAAACCCCCAACUUCUGAACGUUUGACCUCGGAUCAGGUAGGAAUACCCGCUGAACUUAAGCAUAUCAAUAAGCGGAGGA
rnacentral:misc_RNA from 1 species